UGGGGAAUUUUGGACAAUGGGCGAAAGCCUGAUCCAGCAAUGCCGCGUGUGUGAAGAAGGCCUUCGGGUUGUAAAGCACUUUUGUCCGGAAAGAAAUCCUUGGCUCUAAUACAGUCGGGGGAUGACGGUACCGGAAGAAUAAGCACCGGCUAACUACGUGCCAGCAGCCGCGGUAAUACGUAGGGUGCAAGCGUUAAUCGGAAUUACUGGGCGUAAAGCGUGCGCAGGCGGUUUGCUAAGACCGAUGUGAAAUCCCCGGGCUCAACCUGGGAACUGCAUUGGUGACUGGCAGGCUAGAGUAUGGCAGAGGGGGGUAGAAUUCCACGUGUAGCAGUGAAAUGCGUAGAGAUGUGGAGGAAUACCGAUGGCGAAGGCAGCCCCCUGGGCCAAUACUGACGCUCAUGCACGAAAGCGUGGGGAGCAAACAGGAUUAGAUACCCUGGUAGUCCACGCCCUAAAACGAUGUCAACUAGUUGUUGGGGAUUCAUUCCUUAGUAACGUAGCUAACGCGUGAAGUUGACCGCCUGGGGAGUACGGUCGCAAGAUUAAAACUUAAUGAAUUGACGGGGUCAUAGCUG
rnacentral:rRNA from 1 species